AGAGUUUGAUCCUGGCUCAGGAUGAACGCUAGCUACAGGCUUAACACAUGCAAGUCGCGGGGCAGCAUGAAGUCAGCUUGCUGACUUUGAUGGCGACCGGCGCACGGGUGAGUAACGCGUAUCCAACCUGCCUGUUACCACGGCACAGCCCGUCGAAAGGCGGAUUAAUGCCGUAUGUGGUCCUUUGCGGGCAUCUAAUUAGGACUAAAGGUUCAGCGGUAACAGAUGGGGAUGCGUCCGAUUAGCUAGACGGCGGGGUAACGGCCCACCGUGGCGACGAUCGGUAGGGGUUCUGAGAGGAAGGUCCCCCACACUGGAACUGAGACACGGUCCAGACUCCUACGGGAGGCAGCAGUGAGGAAUAUUGGUCAAUGGGCGUAAGCCUGAACCAGCCAAGUAGCGUGAGGGAAGACUGCCCUAUGGGUUGUAAACCUCUUUUGUGCGGGGAUAAAGUGAGGGACGUGUCCCUUAUUGCAGGUACCGCACGAAUAAGGACCGGCUAAUUCCGUGCCAGCAGCCGCGGUAAUACGGAAGGUCCGGGCGUUAUCCGGAUUUAUUGGGUUUAAAGGGAGCGCAGGCCGUCCUUUAAGCGUGCUGUGAAAUGCCGCGGCUCAACCGUGGCACUGCAGCGCGAACUGGAGGACUUGAGUACGCACGAGGUAGGCGGAAUUCGUGGUGUAGCGGUGAAAUGCUUAGAUAUCACGAAGAACUCCGAUUGCGAAGGCAGCUUACCGGAGCGCAACUGACGCUGAGGCUCGAAAGCGCGGGUAUCGAACAGGAUUAGAUACCCUGGUAGUCCGCGCGGUAAACGAUGGAUGCCCGCCGUUGGGAUUUGGAUUUCAGCGGCCAAGCGAAAGCGUUAAGCAUCCCACCUGGGGAGUACGCCGGCAACGGUGAAACUCAAAGGAAUUGACGGGGGCCCGCACAAGCGGAGGAACAUGUG
rnacentral:rRNA from 1 species